rnacentral:misc_RNA from 1 species
AAAAUCAACACCCUCCAGCAGGCUGAACGUUUGGGCGGACCAAUAUUGUCUCUGGGUAAUAUCGAGCCACAGCCAAGAUCGUUAGAGAAAGAAGUUUCUCCAUUAUCAAUUACUCAACCCAAGAACAGAAGUUUAGUUUACGAACCUCUAUUAUCAGAUUCUCCAAACACUAGAAGAUCUUUGGGAUCAGGAGCUCCAUUUGAUUUCUUUCAAUCGCAAUCCAGAUCGUCUUCUUCGAGCUACUCAAGAAAUUGCAAGGAUAACUGAGCUCCACUUGGUAAAAAAAGAAGUUUAUAGGCAGCAUAGUUGAUGGUAUACAAGUUCUUUGUUAGAGUUGUAAAGCAUACAAUUUUUCCAUCCCACAUGAUUUAUUUACCCUUCAAUGCCCACCUCCAUUUUUUCCCCUUACCCCAAAACAAUUGGAUUGUGUGUUUUUU